GCGAACGGCAGAGUAACAGGAGGCAACCUGCCCUUAGCUCCGGGAUAGCUCCGGGAAACCGGAAUUUACANCGGAUACGAUCAAAGGGUCGAAAGAUCUGAGGAGGAAAGGUGGCGCAAGCUGCCGCUCUUGGAGGGGCUCGCGGCCUAUCAGCUAGUUGGCGGGGUAACGGCCCACCAAGGCUAUGACGGGUAGCUGGUCUGAGAGGACGACCAGCCACACGGGGACUGAGACACGGCCCCGACUCCUACGGGAGGCAGCAG
rnacentral:rRNA from 1 species